GAAUCUGCCCUUAGGAAAAGAAUAACUUCUGGAAACGGUUGCUAAAUCUUUAUAUGUCGAGAGAUGAAAUAGCUUAGGCUGCCUAAGGAUGAGCUCACGCCUGAUUAGCUUGUUGGUGAGGUAAUGGCUCACCAAGGCCACGAUCAGUAGCUGGUUUGAGAGAACGACCAGCCUCACUGGGACUGAGACACGGCCCAGACUCCUCCGGGAGGCGGCAGUGAGGAAUUUUCCGCAAUGGGCGAAAGCCUGACGGAGCAAUACCGCGUGAGGGACGAAGGAUUUUGGUCUGUAAACCUCUUUUCUCAAGAAAGAAGUUCUGACGGUACUUGAGGAAUAAGCAUCGGCUAACUCCGUGCCAGCAGCCGCGGUAAUACGGGGGAUGCAAGCGUUAUCCGGAAUGAUUGGGCGUAAAGCGCCUGUAGGUUGUUUAUUAAGUCCGUUGUUAAAGCCUAGGGCUUAACCCUAGAAAAGCAAUGGAAACUAGUAGACUAGAGUAUGGCAGGGGUAGAGGGAAUUUCUAGUGUAGCGGUGAAAUGCGUAGAUAUUAGAAAGAACACCGGUGGCGAAAGCGCUCUACUGGACCAUUACUGACACUCAGAGGCGAAAGCUAGGGUAGCA
rnacentral:rRNA from 1 species